AUGAACGCUGGCGGCGUGGAUAAGGCAUGCAAGUCGGACGAUUUCCUUUUUUUGAAGAAGAUGCGAUUACAUCAAGUCAACUGAUAUUUUGGAGAUAGUGGCGAACGAGCUAGUAACACCUUGGUACGUACCCAAAAGUUUGGUAUAGCUCGCCGAAAGGCGGGGUAAUCCCAAAUAAUCCCUCUAUCUAUCGGAUAGAAGGGUAAAGUCGCAAGACGCUUUUGGAGCGGCCUAGGACCGAUCAGUUAGUUGGUGAGGUAAUGGCUCACCAAGACGAUGAUCGGUAGGGG
rnacentral:rRNA from 1 species